rnacentral:rRNA from 1 species
AUUGAACGCUGGCGGCAGGCCUAACACAUGCAAGUCGAGCGGAGCGGCGGACGGGUGGGUAAUGCCUAGGAAUCUGCCUGGUAGUGGGGGAUAACGUCCGGCAACGGGCGCUAGUACCGCCUACUUUCAGAUGGGCCUAGGUCGGAUUAGCUAGUUGGUGGGGUACAGGCCUACCAAGGCGACGAUCCGUAACUGGUCUGAGAGGAUGAUCAGUCACACUGGAACUGCGACACGGUCCAGACUCCUACGGGAGGCAGCAGUGGGGGAUAUUGCACAAUGGGCGAAAGCCGGAUGCAGCGACGCCGCGUGGGGGAUGAAGGCUUUAGGGUUGUAAACCGCUUUCGCUAUCGAACGGGUAGGUGGAGAAGAAGCGCCGGCUAACUACGUGCCAGCAGCCGCGGUAAUUC